UCUGCCAAGAAGGAGGGCAAACAGUGGAGAGCCAGUGGUCAGAAAACAGGAUAGAGGAACAGAAAGCACAAUUACAAAGAACACAAAGGAAAAUGAAUCUCAUAUUUCUUUUUGGAGAAGAAUCUCCAGAAUCCUGACCUCAAGCAUGAAAUGACCUAGAGAACAAAAGAUACAAGAAGCAAGAACUGAGCCAAAGCUGGGCAUAGCAUCACAUUUAAAGCUCUGUGAUGAAGGAGGCUCUUGUGUGUUCACUCCUAGGGAGGACACCCACAGCUUCCGCUUUUGGCGGCAUCGGGAGGCUGCAGCUCG